GACGAACGCUGGCGGCGUGCCUAAUACAUGCAAGUUGAGCGAUGAAGAUUGGUGCUUGCACCAAUUUGAAGAGCAGCGAACGGGUGAGUAACGCGUGGGGAAUCUGCCUUUGAGCGGGGGACAACAUUUGGAAACGAAUGCUAAUACCGCAUAAUAACUUUAAACAUAAGUUUUAAGUUUGAAAGAUGCAAUUGCAUCACUCAAAGAUGAUCCCGCGUUGUAUUAGCUAGUUGGUGAGGUAAAGGCUCACCAAGGCGAUGAUACAUAGCCGACCUGAGAGGGUGAUAGGCCACAUUGGGACUGAGACACGGCCCAAACUCCUACGGGAGGCAGCAGUAGGGAAUCUUCGGCAAUGGACGAAAGUCUGACCGAGCAACGCCGCGUGAGUGAAGAAGGUUGUCGGAUCGUAAAACUCUGUUGGUAGAGAAGAACGUUGGUGAGAGUGGAAAGCUCAUCAAGUGACGGUAACUACCCAGAAAGGGACGGCUAACUACGUG
rnacentral:rRNA from 1 species